UUGAAUUACAACUACGUAUGUGAACCAACUGAACCACGGUGUAAGCAACUGCUGUUGAAGGCUUCUUAUGAGGCUCAAACCGCGGCCAGAGACUCGUGGGUAGGAGUAACAACUGACGGACUUUGAGCCGUCAGUCAUUUUUUUACCACCCUUUAACAUUGACUCUGACUGAAUUCUUUAAAACUUUAAAGA
rnacentral:misc_RNA from 1 species